AUGAGCGAAAGAGGGAGUCUACUGGACGGGGUUCCACUAGCGGAGACUCUUGGAACAGCUGGAGUCAGAAGUCCCCAAGUAAGCGUAUUAUGGGGGACCGUCCAGCACAUCUGGCAAGGAUCGAGGGGGAUCUCGUUGUUGCAUAGCUCAGGUCGGAGCAACGCGCCAUCGGACGUUCAAGAGGCAGUCGCACGAUCGGGCAUGAGUGUCCGGAAGUUGUCAUUGUAUACUCCCGCGGGUCGGAAGGCGGCGGGGGAAUGA